rnacentral:tRNA from 1 species
GGCUCCAUAGCUCAGUUGGUUAGAGCGCCAGUCUAGUAAACUGGAGGUCGCGAGUUCAUUUCUCGCUGGAGCCU